UACGGAGGGUGCAAGCGUUACUCGGAAUUACUGGGCGUAAAGCGUGCGUAGGCGGUUUGUUAAGUCUGAUGUGAAAGCCCUGGGCUCAACCUGGGAAUUGCAUUGGAUACUGGCAGGCUAGAGUGCGGUAGAGGAUGGCGGAAUUCCCGGUGUAGCGGUGAAAUGCGUAGAGAUCGGGAGGAACAUCUGUGGCGAAGGCGGCCAUCUGGACCAGAACUGACACUGAGGCACGAAAGCGUGGGGAGCAAACAGG
rnacentral:rRNA from 1 species